UCUCGGGGAGACUUUAGUUCCGGUGGAUAUGCUGGAUAGCUUCGACAGGUCGCAACAGUCUCGUGGGGCUUUACUGUAGCUUGACGUUGUGUCUGGGUACUACCAGUAGUGGAGAGCGGGGAGGCUUGGAAGCCAGAACGACAGUUGUGGCGGAGCGAUCCUUGGGAUACCACCCUUGUAGUGCUGGGACUCUAACCAUAGGCCAGGAAUUCGGUCUUGGGACACUGUCAGGUGGGCAGGUUGACUGGGGCGGUCGCCUCCCAAAAGGUAACGGAGGCGCUCAAAGGUUCUCUCAGGACGGUCGAAAAUCGUACGUAGAGUGUAAAGGCAUAAGAGAGCUAGAUUUCAAGACAUACGAGUCGAGCAAGGAUGAAAAUCGGACUUAGUGAACCGGUGUUUCUGCGUGGGAGGGCCAUCGCUCAACGAAUA
rnacentral:rRNA from 1 species